GGAAAGGGCCGUAGCUCAGUGGCAGAACAUCUGCCUUGCAAGCAGAAGGCCAUGGGUUCAAUCCCUGGCAUUUCCA